GGCAGGAAAGCGCAGGGUGCGCGUCGGCUUCUCAUACAAGGAAAUCUUGAUAAAAUAAACCGAAGGUCCCCGUUCGACUCGGGGUCCUGCCA